UCCUGGUGGCUCAGAUGGUAAAGCGUCUGUCUACAAUGCAGGAAACCUGGGUUCGAUCCCUGGGUCGGGAA
rnacentral:tRNA from 1 species